GAAGGCUUGUUUUGUGUUUGCUCUCGUCUUUGGAGUCAUCUUUCUCAAAUCUUCUGCUCGGACAUUCAAAGAUGAACAAACAUUGGAUUCAACAGAAGCAGCCCCAAGAUUGGGAUGGGGAUGUGACCAUGGUUGUUGCGAAUUUACUAGUACUGGAGGUUGCAAAACAUGUUGUGCCAUGAAUGAUCCUCAUGCAAAAUCAUUACAUCCCUAAUAAUAUAGUAAUAUUAGUUACUAUCUAA